UCUCUGGGCCUUGGAUCUGAUGGAGAGGAA
rnacentral:piRNA from 1 species